CGUAACUGAAUUGAGGUUACGUUCUAUUGUUAUUAUUAUUAUAAUAAUUCUAUUAAUAAGAUAAAAAUAAAAAAAUACAGUUUUCAGAUUUAGGUAUUAAAUAAACACAAAAAAAUGAAAGAAAAAGAAAGGUGUCUGUCGUGUAAAAUAUUAUCCGUUUCCGUUUUGGUAGGAAUAGGAAGUUAUCUUAUUUUUGUUGGAAAGUCUCAACAUUCUCUGUCUAGGAUAUCAAUGUAUGGACUAGGAACGGGGAUAAUUGGCUUAGGCAUAGGAGAAAUAUUUGAUAAAUCUCCGUUUCGAGAAUCCUAAAACAUACUCAAUUCCCAAACCCCUACAUUACUUUAUUAGCACAUAGGUUUUAAUAAAAAAGAAGCUAAAAUUAUGUGAUCUCCAUAAAUAUUAUUUCAAAUUUUUUAUAUUGUAUACUAUAUGAAUGUAUUUAGUACUAAGUGUUAAAUAACUGCAUUUGUAUUUUAAAAAACACAAUAAUCAUCCUUUAUAAAUAUA